rnacentral:rRNA from 1 species
AGAGUUUGAUCCUGGCUCAGAACGAACGCUGACGGCGUGGCUAAGACAUGCAAGUCGUACGAACGAACCAAUUGAGUAAUCAAGCGGUAAGUUAGUGGCGAAAGGGUGAGUAAUGCGUAGGCAACGUACCCCAGACUCCGGAAUAGCUGCGGACUUCGGUCCUUUGCGAAAGUGCAGGUAAUACCGGAUAAGCUCUUAGUGUCGCAUGGCACAGAGAGAAAAGGUUCGCUGGUUUGGGAGCGGCCUACGUCGUAUCAGCUUGUUGGUGAGGUAACGGCUCACCAAGGCUUCGACGCGUAGCGGGACCGAGAGGUUGAUCCGCCACAUUGGGACUGAGACACUGCCCAGACCCCCACGGGGGGCUGCAGUAACGAAUAUUGCGCAAUGGACGAAAGUCUGACGCAGCAACGCCGUGUGUAGGACGAAGCCCCUCGGGGUGUAAACUACUGUCAGAGUGAAGAAAGAUCUGAUCGAUCUCAGAGGAAGGUCCGGCUAACUUCGUGCCAGCAGCCGCGGUAAUACGAAGGGACCAAGCGUUGUUCGGAAUUAUUGGGCUUAAAGCGCACGCAGGCGGACAGGUCAGUGUCCUGUGAAAUCCCCCGGCUCAACCGGGGAACGGCUGGGCAUACUGCCUGUCUUGAGGCAAGUAGGGGCACGUGGAACUCUUGGUGGAGCGGUGAAAUGCGUAGAGAUCAAGAGGAACGCCAGUGGUGAAAACGACGUGCUGGGCUUGUCCUGACGCUGAGGUGCGAAAGCGUGGGUAGCGAACGGGAUUAGAUACCCCGGUAGUCCACGCCGUAAACGAUGUGUACUAGGUUGCGGGAGGUCUGACCCUUUCGCAGCCGAAGCAAAAGUGUUAAGUACACCGCCUGGGGAGUACGGUCGCAAGGCUAAAACUCAAAGGAAUUGACGGGGGCUCACACAAGCGGUGGAGCAUGUGCCUUAAUUCGAAUCAACGCGAAGAACCUUAUCCUGGGUUUGACAUACUUGGAUGCUCUUGUCGAAAGGCAAGUAAGCUGCCUUCGGGUGAAACUUGUACAGGUGCUGCAUGGCUGUCGUCAGCUCGUGUCGUGAGAUGUCGGGUUAAGUCCCUUAACGAGCGAAACCCUUGUCGUUAGUUACCAGCGCGUAGCGGCGGGGACUCUAACGAGACUGCCGGUGUUAAACCGGAGGAAGGCGGGGAUGACGUCAAGUCCUCAUGGCCUUUAUGCCCAGGGCUGCACACGUGCUACAAUGGUGGCGACAAACCGAAGCGAGACUGCGAAGUGGAGCAAAUCGGAUAAACGUCGCCUCAGUUCGGAUUGCAGGCUGCAACUCGCCUGCAUGAAGUUGGAAUCGCUAGUAAUCGCAGAUCAGCUAUGCUGCGGUGAAUAUGUUCCUGAGCCUUGUACACACCGCCCGUCAAGUCACGGAAGCCGGGAGUACCUGAAGUCGGGUAGCGAACCCUCGGGACGCGCCCGCCGAUGGUAAGUUCGGUGACUGGGGCUAAGUCGAAACAAGGUA